CUUUAAGGAAGUCCUAAUGCAAUAGAUUUUCAUAUUCCUGCAUCAAGGAUAAAUUCAAACUGGGGAGGGAUUUGUUAGACCUCACCAACUCACUCUCAAACUCACUCUUUUCUACAAAGAAGCUUAACUUACCAUUUUCUCUCCUCUCAAUAGGCUCUCUUUCUUUUCUCUCAUGUGGCUCUACUCGGUUUUUCUCACAUUUAGCCACCUCUCCACUUUCUCUUGAGCCCUCUUUUUCUUUCUUUUUACCUUUACUCUCAUUCUCACCCCUCAACCUCACUUGAUCUUCAUACACUUGCUGCUGUGUCAAUGGUGCAAGCGUGAUAGUUUUUUUUAUCCUUGUCAAAGCUGUAUCUAUUUCUGAACCCAUCAUGUUUAACCCUUCUAUCAUAUUGCCACGGCCUAUCCAAUAAAAUAUGACCCUCAUGCAUUGGCACAAUAUCACACAAUAUCUCAUCUUUAUAUUGCCCAAUUGAAAAGUUCACCAAAACCCUCUUAUUCACCUUAACUUCUCCACGAUCAUCCAACCAUUGUAGUUUAUACAGUUUAGGGUGUCUUAUUGUUCUCAGCCCUAACUUCUCAACUAAAGUGGUACUAGCAAUAUUAGUGCAACAACCUCCAUCAAUAAUUAAACCACAUACCUUAUUCUCCACGUGGCAUCUAAUGUGAAAGAUAUUUUCUCGUUGCUUUGCAUCAGCACAAGUGCUUCACCAUCCACUGCAUGCUCUACCACUUCAUCACUAGUAAUAUCUUCUAACCCAGGCAUCCCAUCUCCAUCACUGUCACUCACUACUUCUCCAUUAGCACUCAAGAUCAUCGAUCUCUUGUUAAGACAUUGAGAUGCAAUGUGUCCCUUUCCCAAGCAUUUGAAACAUUUAAUGUCCCGGCUCCUAGCAGUUUGUGACUCUGCUUUAGGAGGUUCUUUGCUAGCAUUUUCUUCUUUCUCCCUUGACACUUCAGCUUUAUUGUUUGCAACAACCCCAUCAACCCUAUCAUCAUCCCCUCUCAACCUCCAAGCUGAGUUAGGAUCCAAUUGAUUCCUAGCCAUCCCCUUUCGCUUCAACUGUCAUUCUACCUUCAUGGCCACAUGCAGCAUAUCCUCUAACUUCACAUAGUGUUGCAUCUCCACCACCUUAGCAAUAUCCCUAUUCAACCCAUUUAGAAAACGAGCCAUAGUGGCUUCCCGGUCCUCCUCCACAUUAGCCCUAAUCAUCAAGAUUUUCAUCUCCUUGUGAUAGUCCUCUACAC
rnacentral:lncRNA from 1 species